rnacentral:tRNA from 1 species
GUUGGGUUAGACGAAGUGGUGAAGUCACCACACUUUCAAUGUGGAGAUUAUGGGUUCAAAUCCCAUACCCAAUACA